rnacentral:tRNA from 1 species
UAGCCUUAUUGUUAAGGCAAUGGAUCGCCAAUCCGGAGACGACGGGUUCGAUUCCCGU